GCAUUCAAAUCUGCGGAGUAGGGAGGUACGAAUUGGAGCGAGAAUCUGCACAUCUCCUCUUUUGCUCGCUCUUUCUUCUUUGCAAAUCUGCAAAUUGGAGGGAGAAUCUGCUAAUCCACAGAGCCGCUCACUCUCUCUUCUCUUUUGCUUUGCCAGAGCCCGCCCUCCCGUUUCCAAGCUUUCAAGAGGAGCAAGACGAAAUCCCUCACACUCUCUCUUUCCCGUUGGUCGGCGUCCGCCAUUUCUGAGCUUCCACCAAAUUUCCGCCAGAUGAAUUUGCCUCCUCCAGUUGCUUUUACUACCUUAACAGUCAUUCCCAACCAUAUGUGAAAAGGACCCAUUUACGUUGCAUAUUUUCUUUUUCCUUCUCAACUCUGAAAAGCUCGUGACUGUGCAUUUAGGUAUGAUCUCGCAAUGCAAAAGCCUGAUUUUUAUGCAUUUAGCAAGUUUUUUUGAGCUCGUGGUUGCAAUAAUACAACAAUUUUUUUUCUGCAGAGAAGCUCGUACUCAGUAACCUCGCAUUUUUUGAACGCGAAGAUCCUGAUUGAAACCAAAAUCAGACCACCUGUAGAAUUUUUUAAAAAUUCAUCACAAAGUUAGAAAUUUGUCAAUAAAUACUC
rnacentral:lncRNA from 1 species